rnacentral:rRNA from 1 species
UACGUAGGGUGCGAGCGUUAAUCGGAAUUACUGGGCGUAAAGCGUGCGCAGGCGGUUGUGUAAGACAGGUGUGAAAUCCCCGGGCUCAACCUGGGAACUGCGCUUGUGACUGCACGGCUAGAGUACGGCAGAGGGGGGUGGAAUUCCUGGUGUAGCAGUGAAGUGCGUAGAUAUCAGGAGGAACAUCGAUGGCGAAGGCAGCCCCCUGGGCCGAUACUGACGCUCAUGCACGAAAGCGUGGGGAGCAAACAGG